UCGGGAAUUUUGGGCAAUGGGCGAAAGCCUGACCCAGCAACGCCGCGUGAAGGAUGAAGUAUUUCGGUAUGUAAACUUCGAAAGAAUAGGAAGAAUAAAUGACGGUACUAUUUAUAAGGUCCGGCUAACUACGUGCCAGCAGCCGCGGUAAUACGUAGGGACCAAGCGUUGUUCGGAUUUACUGGGCGUAAAGGGCGCGUAGGCGGCAAUUCAAGUCAUCUGUGAAAUCUCCGGGCUUAACUCGGAACGGUCAGAUGAUACUGCUUUGCUAGAGUGCAGAAGGGGCAAUCGGAAUUCUUGGUGUAGCGGUGAAAUGCGUAGAUAUCGGAAGGAACAUCGGUGGCGAAGGCGUCUACCUGGCCUAAUACUGACACUGAGGCACGAAAGCGUGGGGAGCAAACAGGAUUAGAUACCCAAGUAGUCCCUGAG
rnacentral:rRNA from 1 species